rnacentral:misc_RNA from 1 species
GAUGAAGAACGUAGCGAAAUGCGAUACGUAGUGUGAAUUGCAGAAUUCAGUGAAUCAUCGAAUCUUUGAACGCACAUUGCACCUCUCGGUAUUCCGGGAGGUAUGCCUGUUCGAGCGUCAUUUGUACCCUCAAGCUCUGCUUGGUGUUGGGUGUUUGUUCCGCCUCUGUGUGUGAACUCGCCUCAAAACAAUUGGCAGCCGGCGUACUUGUUUCGGAGCGCAGCACAUUUUGCGAUCCAGAUCAACGUACAGCGGCAUCCAAGAAGCCUUAUUUAACGCUCUUGACCUCGGAUCAGGUAGGGAUACCCGCUGAACUUAAGCAUAUCAAUAAGGCGGAGGA